rnacentral:rRNA from 1 species
GUAGGUGGCAAGCGUUGUCCGGAAUUAUUGGGCGUAAAGCGCGCGCAGGCGGUUCUUUAAGUCUGGUGUGAAAGCCCACGGCUCAACCGUGGAGGGUCACUGGAAACUGGAGAACUUGAGUACAGAAGAGGAAAGCGGAAUUCCACGUGUAGCGGUGAAAUGCGUAGAGAUGUGGAGGAACACCAGUGGCGAAGGCGGCUUUCUGGUCUGUAACUGACGCUGAGGCGCGAAAGCGUGGGGAGCAAACGAGGAUUAGAUACCCUGGUAGUCCACGCCGUAAACGAUGAGUGCUAAGUGUUAGGGGUUUCCCGCCCCUUAGUGCUGCAGCUAACGCAUUAAGCACUCCGCCUGGGGAGUACGGCCGCAAGGCUG